UGGGGAAUAUUGCGCAAUGGGGGGAACCCUGACGCAGCCAUGCCGCGUGAAUGAAGAAGGCCUUCGGGUUGUAAAGUUCUUUCGGUAUUGAGGAAGGUUGAUGUGUUAAUAGCACAUCAAAUUGACGUUAAAUACAGAAGAAGCACCGGCUAACUCCGUGCCAGCAGCCGCGGUAAUACGGAGGGUGCGAGCGUUAAUCGGAAUAACUGGGCGUAAAGGGCACGCAGGUGGUUAUUUAAGUGAGGUGUGAAAGCCCUGGGCUUAACCUAGGAAUUGCAUUUCAGACUGGGUAACUAGAGUACUUUAGGGAGGGGUAGAAUUCCACGUGUAGCGGUGAAAUGCGUAGAGAUGUGGAGGAAUACCGAAGGCGAAGGCAGCCCCUUGGGAAUGUACUGACGCUCAUGUGCGAAAGCGUGGGGAGCAAACAGGAUUAGAUACCCUGGUAGUCCACGCUGUAAACGCUGUCGAUUUGGGGGUUGGGGUUUAACUCUGGCGCCCGUAGCUAACGUGAUAAAUCGACCGCCUGGGGGAGUACGGCCGCAAGGUUA
rnacentral:rRNA from 1 species